rnacentral:ncRNA from 1 species
AUUAAAGCUUAGAAAAGAUGAGUAAUUACUUAAAGCAUCCCCCAGAGAGUCGGAUUAGGUGCAAGCCGAUGUUGCUGACGUAAUGAAGAUGGUCUUGGAGCUAAAUUAAAGUGCAAGCUAAUUUAAGUAAGCAGUUUACGAUUGACGUUCGUUAUCAUGUCCGAGUCUUCCAAAUUUUGGAGUACUCAGUGAGGAAUUAAUUGUAAGAUUAAUUUGAAUGCAGGGUGGUAACACGCUAUUAAGCGUCCCUAGU